rnacentral:tRNA from 1 species
UGGUAUGUAGCUCAGUGGUAAAGCACUUGCCUAGCAAGUGCAAUGUCCUGGGUUCGAUCCCCAAUACCAA